GCUUUCUGAAAGUCCAGGUACACUACAUCCACUGGUUCUCCCUUGUCCAUUUUCUUAGUUACAUCCUCAAAAAAUUCCAGAAGAUUAGUCCCUUCAUAAGUCUAUGCUGAUUGGUCUCUGCACCUGCUGAUGUAAAUAUCUCUGUACUUGUCUCCAUCUGUUAAACUCAAUAUGUAAAUCUCAGUGUGUAUAUUGAACACUCAACUCCGUAAGGCUUCCUGUUACUGUCACUCCACUGCAUCUGCUCAUCAGUGCAAGCAUUGGCUCCUGUCCCAAAACGUCACCUAUUACUUCUCUCCAGAGAUGCUGCCUGUCCUGCUGAGUUACUCCAGCAUUUUGUGUCUAUCUUCGCUUUAAACCAGCAUCUGCAGUUCCUUCCUACAUGUAAACGUAGAGCUGGUGUAUCAGGGUCUCCCUGAAUCCCACAGCAUGUGAUUUUCUUUAAGCUGCCUCUUGUAACCAGUGCUUUUGCCUUGUUAAUUGGAACAAUAAACAAAAGCAGUGAACCAAAAGCACUUAAACAAGGGACUUGAUUUAAAGACUCAACAUGAAGGCUCCCUGGGUUUCAAAAGCUUCAAAGAAUAUUGAAAGGUCAUUGUCAUGAAAUGUUAACUCUGUUUCUCUCUACAGUGAUAGUCUAGGUGCCUUUUGCCUAUUUCCAGAAUUUUCAAACAGGAAAUUUGAUUGCAUAAAACUGAGUUCCCUUGCAAGAUGAUCAAACUUAAAAAACCAUGGCCGAAAGAAAGACUAGAGGGAAGAAAUGUUGUCAGCUUGAGGACAGCCAGGAUUAGGACCUCUGAUCAAAAGACUACUACUCCCUUCAGAUUUGAAAGUACAUGGAUGUUUGCUGGAGAACCAGGGCAACGUACCUGGAACUAGUAACAGCUUUUAUAGAAGCGCAGGAAUGGUGGGCUAAAUGCCAACCUUGUGUUGUUCAUUUUCUUGGAUAGUAGGUGACAUAGCCACGUAAGGUCUCAUCAGGUUGUAUCCAAGCCUAAAUAAUGGAUAAAUCCCUCACUGAACUAGCUACGUAGACCAUUUUUUAUGACUGAAUAAACAUUAAGUUAUGUUUUCUGUACAUGUCUCUUAACACAAGGUAAAUUUCCCAUACUUAUUAUUAAAGUGAACCAAGAGAAUUGAUAUGACAUUUAUUUCUCUCACACUUCAUUUUAUCCUCUGACUGUUGCUGAGUUGCAGAGAGGGAAGAAAACCUGAGCAGCAGCUGGAAGAGGUGGUUGUCCGGCCCUUUGUUCCUGCUCCACCGUUCUUCAAGGCCAUGGCUGAUCUUUGCCUCACUACCAUUUCCAUCGUUACAACCUCAUCCCUUGAAAGCCAAGGACUGCUUCUACAGGAAACCAAAGGUUCACUGCUGUGAAGAAAUUUGGCCUUAUCUUAGUUCUCGAGAGCCAACUCUUAGUCUCAAAAUGUGGUCCCUGCUCCCUACUUUCCUCAGCCCCAUUGCAUCCCUGUGGGAGUUUUAAUUUUCCAUGGGGUCUUCUAUUUCUGGACUCUGGAGAAAGACAACCAAAUGCAGCAGCAGAGGAUUAACAAGCAGUUUACACAAGUACAGAUUGACCAAUAAAUAUCCUCUCUCCACAGAUGCCACCUGACCUGCUGAGUGUUUCCAACAUUUUCUGUUUUUAUUUUUUAAAUGAGAAGUCGUAGUCUAUUGUAACUUACUUGCUUUCCUCCUUGGAGUGUCAAUCCGCUGAUAUCCUGCUUACUGGAAGCAACACUUGGUUUUAUUAUUUGGUUAAAAUGAUUGCAAUUCUCUUCUUUUGACUAUCACCCUCCUCUCCUUUUAAAAACAGAUACUGGCCUCUUAUAAUUCAAAUAUCUUUUAAUUGUGAGUUGCUUUUCUGAUAGAAAUCAAAUAUAUACCAAACACUACACAUAUCAGCAUGAACACCAAGUUUUUCUUAAAGGAUAUAAAAAUCUCAUCAUGUAAAACAAUCUAUAAUUUGAUAUUAG